UCUGCCUCAUAACAGAUAGAAAAAACAGCAGUAAAUUCCAUGCCUACACAUUUGUUCUGACAACUUAGUACUGAAGGCAACAUAUGUCUGUUUUUCAAUAGCAAGGCAUAUACCUUUAGAAUUGUAUUUAGAAAAUAAAUAAACUGAAACUUCAAGUACAGAGGAAACUAAGUAGCUUAGGUAGAUUUCCAUAGUAAGAGAAGAUGUUUAAUAGCAUUAAACAGCCAUCUCCAUCUUAAUAGGUGGAUGAGGAUUAUAAUCUUCAAUCUGAAAAUCUUCUGCCUUAAAGUCACUGAUGUCUUCAACCUUACGAAGAAUUCUGAGUUUGGGUAAAGGUCUGGGCUCCCUUUGAAGUUGAACUUUUAGAGGCUCCACAUGAUUCAGAUAUAUGUGAGCAUCUCCUAAGGUGUGUAUGAAUUCCCCAGGCUUCAGCCCUGUGACGUGGGCAAUCAUGUAUGUGAGCAGCGAAUAGCUGGCGAUGUUGAAAGGCACUCCUAGUCCCAUAUCUCCAGACCUCUGAUACAGUUGGCAAGACAGUUCACCAUUUAGAACAUAGAACUGGCAAAGAGCAUGGCAAGGUGGCAAAGCCAUCAGAGAAAUAUCUUUGGGAUUCCAAGCACACAUGAUGAUUCUUCUGUCAUCUGGAUUGGUUUUGAUCAUCUCAAUCACUUUUUGUAACUGAUCAACUCCUUGGUUGGAAUAAUCUGUGUGCAUGUCUUUGUAAUCUGCUCCAAAAUGCCUCCAUUGGAAACCAUAAACUGGUCCCAAGUCCCCCUCUUCUCUGGUGCAAAACCCCUGCUUAUCCAGGAACUCACGUGACCCAUUGGCAUCCCAAAUCUUCACACCCUUUGCAGAGAGCUCUUUGGCAUUUGUAGAACCCUUGAUAAACCACAGUAGCUCCUCCAGCACUCCUUUCCAGAACACCCUCUUUGUUGUCAGCAGUGGGAACUGAUCUCUCAGACUGUACCGCGCCUGCAUGCCGAAGACGGAGAUGGUGCCGGUGCCCGUGCGGUCCUCCUUUCGGUGGCCGUGCUGCAGGAUGUGCCGCACCUGCUGCAGAUACUGCGGCUCGCCGCCCUCCAGGCCGCUCGACGGUUCCUCCGCGGCCGGCAUGGCGGGCAGGAGGCGGCACGGGCGGUCCCCGCAGCCGGGUGCGCUCCGGCUGUCCGCCCGUCCCCGCCGAGCCCGCCAAAAGCCUUCCUUCCCGCGCAGCGGCACGCAGGGGCGGGCUGCCACCUCCCUCCCCGCCCCCUCCGGGAGGCCCCGUGAGCGCCGCCUCCUGCUCAGGGAAGGACGCCGGCCGCCCGUUGUCUGCUCCUCCUCACGUUAGCCGAG
rnacentral:lncRNA from 1 species